CAAAUGUCUUUUGAACUUUGGUUUCUCCGUCUUUCUUGGAGACCAACAUUAAAAAUAACAAACGUCUCUUGAUCCAUCCAACCAACUCACCCAACUUCUUCUUCCUAUGUAUACUCCCAAACCACUCACUGCUCCAUUCAUUUCACACUCUCACGAUCCAAGCCCCUCACCUUGACACCUCUCCAAUGGCAACUCUUUCUCCAACCUCUUUUACAAAGAACUUCAAUUCCUCAGUUGAUUUCCCAAUAACUUCAUUCCAGACAUUUGCAAUCUUUGGUCCUAAGCUGAAAACUGAGCAGACCCAUUUCAGAUUAUCGACUUCUUUCAAGGGAAACAGGAGAGUUGUAGAUUUUGAGAAUACAACUACUGUGCAAACUUCACUAUUUACCCUGACAGGUGUCAGGACCGGUUCACAUUUAGAAUUGAAGGCUAUGAAGGAGCCUCCAGGACUGACUCAGAAACUUGACAAGAACAGGCUGGAUAGAUUAACUGAAUCUGAAAAUGGAUGUGAUUUGUUUCAAGAUCUGAAACAUCGAUUUCUAAGAUUCAAAAAGCAUAAAUUCGAGGAGAACUUGGGACAUUUUCAAAAUCUUGCUGAGGGUCAAGCACCAAAGUUCAUGAUUAUUGCCUGUGCAGACUCAAGGGUUUGCCCCUCAGUCAUCCUGGGGUUUCAACCAGGAGAAGCAUUCAUGGUCCGAAAUGUAGCUAAUUUGGUUCCCCCAUUUGAGAGUGGACCCUCAGAAACAAAUGCGGCAUUAGAAUUUGCUGUAAAUUCUCUUAAGGUUGAGAACAUUUUAGUCAUUGGCCACAGUCGCUGUGGAGGCAUUCGUGCCCUUAUGAGCAUGCAAGAUGAAGUAGAUUCAAGUAGCUUCAUUAGAAGUUGGGUAAUUGUUGGAAAGAAUGCAAGGUUAAACACAAAGUCUGCAGCUUCCCACCUAGGCUUUGACCAGCAGUGCAAGCACUGUGAGAAGGAAUCAGUCGACCAUUCCUUGUUGAACCUGCUCACUUACCCAUGGAUAGAACAAAAAGUGGCUAAAGGAGAACUCUCUGUGCAUGGUGGGUACUAUGACUUCGUUGACUGUACAUUUGAGAAGUGGACACUGGAUUACAAGGGUAGCAAUUUGGGGAAAAAUAGCAGACUUCCAGUCAAAAACAGAUUUUAUUGGUGCUGAAUUUUGCUACAAGUGUUGUUUUUGUUGAUAUUAUUUUUUUUUUAAUUUCUGAAACUUACAUUGAGUGUGACAGCGUAUAGUCUUAAUUUAUAGAAUUCAACACAACCAUAACCUACUGUUGAUCUGUAUCAUUUUACUGAACAAUAAUAUGAUAUAAUAUAUACACCCUGUUGUAUUUGUGUCUCAAUGAAAUGUUCUUGUUAUACAA